UACAGAGGUCUCAAGCGUUGUUCGGAUUCAUUGGGCGUAAAGGGUGCGUAGGCGGCGCGGUAAGUCGGGUGUGAAAUCUUGGAGCUUAACUCCGAAACUGCAUUCGAUACUGCCGUGCUUGAGGACUGGAGAGGAGACUGGAAUUUACGGUGUAGCGGUGAAAUGCGUAGAUAUCGUAAGGAAGACCAGUGGCGAAGGCGGGUCUCUGGACAGUUCCUGACGCUGAGGCACGAAGGCCAGGGAGCAAACGG
rnacentral:rRNA from 1 species